rnacentral:rRNA from 1 species
AGCACACGCGGUUCACAGCCAUCAUCACAUUUCACAAUCACACCUCCAAAACGCCCCACUAAAACCCCACUUACGCGCGCAGACAAAACCCAACCCAACGCACGCCACAGCGUCGCGCACACUGACACACGCCACCGCGCUCGCUCUGUUAGCUCGGCACCACCCAGCUCCACGGGACACGAUCGAUCGACAGCGACAAUGAGGAGUGGCGGCCCUCUCGUUGGUUUGUUGGUGGCGCUCGUGGUCGUCGGCGGCGGGGCGGCGGCUGGGGCGCCCGGCAGGUGCACGACGUCGACGCCGGUGAAGGCGUACGCCAAGUGCAUCGCGCUGCCGACGCAGGGCGCGACGCUGGCGUGGACGUACGACGCGCGCAACGCCACGCUGGACGCGGCCUUCACGGGGUCCUUCAUCUCGCCGUCGGGCUGGGUGGCGUGGGGCGUCAACCAGGACGCGCCGGCCAUGGCCGGGGCGCGCGUCAUCGCCGCCUUCUCCGACCCGUCCACGGGCGCGCUGCUCGCGCUCCCCUUCGUGCUCUCCGCCGACGUCAAGCUCCAGGCCAAGCCCCUGGUGUCCCGCCCGCUCGACAUCCCGCUGCUCGCCUCCUCGGCGUCCCUCAUCGCGCCGGCCCGCACCGUCCGCGACGGCGCGUCGGUGACCAUCGCCGCCACCAUCCGCCUCUCCCCGAACCGCACCAGGGUCCACUUCGUGUGGAACCGGGGCCUGUACGUGCAGGGCUACUCCCCGACCAUCCACCCCACGGACGCCUCCGACCUGGCGUCGCACGCCACCGUCGACAUCCUCACCACGGCCACGGAGUCCUCCCCGAUCGCGUCCGCCAGGCUGCAGUGGGCGCACGGCUCCCUCAACGCGCUCUCCUGGGGCCUCCUGCUCCCGGUCGGCGCAGCCCUGGCGCGGUACCUCCGGCCCUGCGCCUCCGCCGGCCCAGCGUGGUUCUACGGGCACGCGGCGGUGCAGGCGACGGGGUACGCGCUGGGGGCGGCCGGGUUCGCGCUGGGGAUCGCGAUGGGGGCGGCGUCGCCCGGGGUGACGUACAAGCUGCACCGCGGGCUGGGCAUCGCGGCGGCGACGGCGGGGAGCCUGCAGACGCUGGCGGUGUUCUUCCGGCCCAAGACGACCAACCGGUACCGCAAGUACUGGAAGUCGUACCACCACCUGGUGGGGUACGGGUGCGUGGUGGUCGGGGUGGUGAACGUCUUCCAGGGCUUUGAGGUCAUGGGGCUCGGCGCCUCCUACUGGAAGCUCGGCUACUGCAUGGCGCUGGCGACGCUCGUCGGCGGCUGCGUGGCGCUGGAGGUGAACGCCUGGGUGGUGUUCUGCCGGCGGCAACACGAGGAGAAGCUCAUGCGGCGGGAGGUCGAGGACGUCGUCGUCAAGGACAGGGCCGCCGCAUUCUAGCUAGCGCGCCUUGGUGGCCGCCGUCGCUCUGUUUUACAGCUCCGCCGCGGGCUUGGGAGACACGGCCACGAACGAAGUAAUUGAAUGGGUGCGGUCACUGGCCAGCAAGGCAGGCGCCACGUUGCCGGGGACAGGCAGUGCUUAUUGGUUUGUCGGAAGUUUCUCAGUAACUUUUUUGGCGACUAGCCGAUUCUUGGUAAAGAAGCCACGUCAUGAAUUGUGAACAAAGGUCCCCUUUGGUUCAUAUGACUAGAUGACCCGUUGCGCCAAUGGCGCCAAGGCCAGCAGCAAGCCAAGUAUUGUAAGAGUGGUGAUAGGAAAACUCAGGCACAGAUUGAAAUAAUGAGUACUUUGCGCUGAUGACGCAAAGGGCAAAGGGCGAGAGCAACCUAGCAUUGAAAACCAUGCAUGUAAGAAUAUUUAGACACUGAUUGGAAGAUAAGGAAAUAGAUACUAAGGUAUAAUGUUGAUACACAACAUUACAAUUUAUGAUAGCUUAUUUACAUUGUUUUUAGUAAGCAAGCUACAUAAGUAGAGAUACAUCAUAUAG